GAUGAACGCUGGCGGCGUGCCUAAUACAUGCAAGUCGAGCGAACAGACGAGGAGCUUGCUCCUCUGAAGUUAGCGGCGGACGGGUGAGUAACACGUGGCUAACCUACCUAUCAGACUGGGAUAACUUCGGGAAACCGGAGCUAAUACCGGAUAAUAUAUUGAACCGCAUGGUUCAAUAGUGAAAGACGGUUUUGCUGUCACUUAUAGAUGGAUCCGCGCCGCAUUAGCUAGUUGGUAAGGUAACGGCUUACCAAGGCAACGAUGCGUAGCCGACCUGAGAGGGUGAUCGGCCACACGAGAGCGUAGACACGGUCCAGACGCCUACGGGAGGCAGCAGUAGGGAAUCUUCCGCAAUGGGCGAAAGCCUGACGGAGCAACGCCGCGUGAGUGAUGAAGGUCUUCGGAUCGUAAAACUCUGUUAUUAGGGAAGAACAAAUGUGUAAGUAACUAUGCACGUCUUGACGGUACCUAAUCAGAAAGCCACGGCUAACUACGUG
rnacentral:rRNA from 1 species